rnacentral:misc_RNA from 1 species
GAAAUGCGAUAAGUAAUGUGAAUUGCAGAAUUCAGUGAAUCAUCGAAUCUUUGAACGCACAUUGCGCCCGCCAGUAUUCUGGCGGGCAUGCCUGUUCGAGCGUCAUUUCAACCAUCAAGCCCCCGGGCUUGUGUUGGGGACCUGCGGCUGCCGCAGGCCCCGAAAACCAGUGGCGGGCUCGCUGUCACACCGGGCGUAGUAGAUUUUUCGUCUCGCCCAGGGCGUGCUGCGGGUUCCGGCCGUUAAAAAGCCUCUCUUUUUAACCCAAGGUUGACCUCGGAUCAGGUAGCAAGACCCGCUGAACUUAAGC